ACCGGCGCACGGGUGAGUAACGCGUGGGUAAUCUACCCUCAAAUCGGGAAUAACCUGCCGAAAGGCGAGCUAAUGCCGCAUAAGACCACGAAGCACCUCUGCGGUCAAAGGCGGGGACCUUCGGGACCUGCCGCUUAAGGAUGAGCCCGCGGCCCAUCAGCUCGUUGGUGAGGUAACGGCCCAAGGCGAAGCGGUGCUGUCGAGGGACACAGCACACUGACUGAACACGCCAGACUCCUCGGAGGCAGCAGUGGGAUUUUGCGCAUGGCGAAGCCUGACGCAGCGACGUCGCGUGGGGAGAGGCCUUCGGGUCGUAAACCCCUGUCGAGGGGGAAGAAACCCCUGGCAGAUAAUACCUGUCAGGAUUGACGGUACCCCUAAAGGAAGCAUCGGCUAACUACGUGCCAGCAGCCGCGGUAAUACGUAGGAUGCAAGCGUUGCUCGGAAUCACUGGGCGUAAAGAGCGCGUAGGUGGUUUGGUAAGUCAGAAGUGAAAGCCCUCGGCUUAACCGGGGAACUGCUUUUGAAACUGCCAUGCUAGAGUACGGGAGAGGGAGGUAGAAUUCCUGGUGUAGCGGUGAAAUGCGUAGAUAUCAGGAGAAUACCGGCGGCGAAGGCGGCCUCCUGGCCCGAUACUGACACUGAGGCGCGAAAGCGGGGGAGCAAACAGGAUUAGAUACCCUGGUAGUCCACGCCCUAAACGAUGAGCACUAGGUGUGGGGACGUAAUGUCUCCGUGCCGAAGCUAACGCAUUAAGUACCCCACCUGGGAAGUACGGCCGCAAGGCUAAAACUCAAAGGAAUUGACGGGGGCCCGCACAAGCGGUGGAGCAUGUGGUUUAAUUCGACGCAACGCGAAGAACCUUACCUGGGCUUGACAUCCGGAGAAUCCCCUGGAAACAGGGGAGUGCCCUCCGGGGAACUCCGUGACAGGUGCUGCACGGCUGUCGUCAGCUCGUGC
rnacentral:rRNA from 1 species